ACAACCGUAAAGAACAUCGAGUGUGUUUGUGUGUGUGCGUGUGUCUCGAUUAAGGUGCCCUCGGAAGGUGUCGUCCAAGCAAAAGAAACCGGUCCGUUGCAGCCGGAAACUGCCUGGAAAUAAUAAAAAGUAAACGAAAAGAAACAUCAAGAAUUACUACUUGGAGCGUUUAGAAGAGAAAGGGAAAAGGGGAGUCCAAAGCGGAACGCAGUAAGUCACCGGAGGCACAUCGGAGUAGCAUUAAAGAUAAUACCGCAACGUGGCGUAGUGUAAGCAAUUUUGUGUCCCUGCAACAGCGAAGCCCUCGGCCGGAGCAGCCAAGCCCAACGCACCAGCGGACGCAUCUUACCGCCACCGUUGCUGGAGCCGAC